AAGAAAUGAGGCAUAUGUCACUACAAUAUGUGGUAGUGCAAAAAUGAUUGAAGGCUCUGGAAAAGCCAAUAUAUUAUUGCCUGGAGGAACAAAAUUGAUGAUUGAUAAUGCAUUGUACUCUCCGAAGUCUCAAAGAAAUUUAUUGAAUUUGAAAGUUU